rnacentral:rRNA from 1 species
GGUGAACGCUGGCGGCGUGCUUAAGACAUGCAAGUCGAACGGCAGUCUUCGGACUGUAGUGGCGCACGGGUGAGCAACGCGUAACUGACCUACCCCAAAGUCGCGGAUAACGAUUCGAAAGAAUCGCUAAUACGUGAUGUGCUGUCAGAUUGUGUUCUGCCAGUAAAGAUUGAUUGCUUUGGGAUGGGGUUGCGUUCCAUCAGCUAGUUGGUGGGGUAAAGGCCCACCAAGGCGACGACGGAUAGCCGGCCUGAGAGGGUGGCCGGCCACAGGGGCACUGAGACACGGGUCCCACUCCUACGGGAGGCAGCAGUUAGGAAUCCUCCACAAUGGGCGAAAGCCUGAUGGAGCGACGCCGCGUGAGGGAUGAAGGUCUUCGGAUCGUAAACCUCUGAAUCAGGGACGAAAGACACUUCGGUGGGAUGACGGUACCUGAGUAUAGCACCGGCUAACUCCGUGCCAGCAGCCGCCGCGGUAA